rnacentral:rRNA from 1 species
UCGGGAAUUUUGGGCAAUGGGCGAAAGCCUGACCCAGCAACGCCGCGUGAAGGAUGAAGUAUUUCGGUAUGUAAACUUCGAAAGAAUGGGAAGAAUAAAUGACGGUACCAUUUAUAAGCUCCGGCUAACUACGUGCCAGCAGCCGCGGUAAUACGUAGGGAGCAAGCGUUGUUCGGAUUUACUGGGCGUAAAGGGCGCGUAGGCGGCCACCGCAAGUCGACUGUGAAAUCUCCGGGCUUAACUCGGAAAGGUCAGCCGAUACUGCGGGGCUAGAGUGCAGAAGGGGCAACUGGAAUUCUCGGUGUAGCGGUGAAAUGCGUAGAUAUCGAGAGGAACACCUGCGGCGAAGGCGGGUUGCUGGGCUGACACUGACGCUGAGGCGCGAAAGCUAGGGGAGCGAA